rnacentral:misc_RNA from 1 species
GGAUAGAGAGCUGGCAGGCAGGGUGCUUGGUCGCGACUUGGAGUACCGGGGGCGCAACGCCCUGGAAUGCUUGGUGGUCGUAUCGGCUUUUAGUUGCUUGCUUGGUGUUAGUGCCAAGGGAGUGGUUGGAAGCUAGGUCGUCCUCUGGAAUGCUUGUUGUAAAGGUGUAUGAGUUGUGUUUGGCUUGUUACGGGUGUUUGUUGGCUGCUUGUGCAGGAACUUUCAUGCGUCCAAGCCUCUUCAGUUGUGCUACAAGGCCUUGUUUGUCUUGUGCAUACGGUGGGUUUCCUGUGUUGCAUACCUAAUCAAGGGCAUCGUAUGGCUUGAUCGAAGUAAAUAUUCGUAAUGCGCCGCUUGUGGCGUUGCACGAACCUCGAAGUGGUCUCUGUGGCCCAUGUUGUCUUUGCUCACGCAUGGAUGGCAUGGCCCUCGGAGCGUCGCUUGGUCUCUUGGAUACGGAACCUGAUGAUGUGGGCGGUAGGGUCUUGGAUGAUUCUACCUUCGCCUUCCAUGAGCGUUCUCGCUUCUCUAAACGACCGUCUGUCAUGCGCCGGCAUGUCCGUGCAUGGUGGGCUUAGUCGAAGAGGAAUGCUAC